rnacentral:rRNA from 1 species
CUGCAGACGUCGGAUCUACCGGAUUAUCUAAUACCAAGACUAAAGAUGCGAUUCAAAGAUGUAGAGAAAGCAAGGGAAUUUUAUAACAGAUACGCCAGGCACGCUGGUUUUGGAAUCAGGAAGAUGGGUGGAAAUGAUAACCACAAGUAUUUUGUUUACGCCUUCCAAGGGAUACAUACAUCUUCUGUUUCAGAGGCCAACAGGAAGCGAAACAAAACAUCGCAGAGGACGGGCUGCAAUGCAAGAAUGAGGGUGAAGGUGCAGGAGGAUGGCACAUGCGUGGCAGUGGACAUUGACUACAAUCAUAAUCACCAGCUCAUGCAAACUGAUGACAUGCUGGUAUUCUUGCACUCACACAAGAAUUAUGACCCCACUAUUCUGGAGUAUGUAAAGCUCCUGGAGUACCAUGAUGUCAAGCACACACCAAUCAUGUCCAUGCUAUCUGAAAAUGAAGAUGGAAGCUACUUCCUAAGCAUGACCGGACGAGACCUGCUAAACCAGAAAGCCAUGAAUGCAAGGAAAGAUGAUUUGGAUGAUGUAUUAAAACUUGUUUCAUUCUUCAAAGACAUGAAGGCAAUAAAUGAUGAGUUUUUCUAUGACAUCCAAGUGGACAAGGACAAGUCAAUUAAAAACAUUUUCUGGUCCAAUGCAAGCUGUCGAGGAGCCUAUCAAGACUUCGGCGAUUGCGUAACAUUUGACACGACUUACAAGACAAACAGAUUUCAUAUGCCCCUGGGAGUGUUUUUUGGAACAAACCAUCACUUGCAGUCAACGAUAUUUGCCGUUGCCCUGAUAAGAGACGAAGAUGCAAAGUCAUUCAAGUGGCUGUUCGAUACAUUUCUACGAUGCAUGAACAACAAGCACCCAACUUGCAUUCUAACAGACUAAUGCCCAUGGAUGGCGAAAGCUAUACCACAAUCAUUUCCAACCACCGUCCACAAGCUAUGCCGUUGGCACAUAUUGAAGAAGUACAGGGAAUACCUCGCGUUGCUAUACAAAAAGUAUAAAACAUUCAAAAAGGAGUUCACAGCUAUAUUGAACUGGCCGCUGAUGCCAAUGGAGUUUGAAGAUGCCUGGGCUGAACUCGUGCACAAGUACCACCUGGAGAACGACCAGAUGAUGAUGCAGCUCUGGAGUGAUAGGAAGAUGUGGAUUUCAGCAUAUUACAAGAACAUUUUCUGUGCUAGAAUGACUUCCACACAACGAAGCGAGAGCAUGAACCACGUGCUAAAGAAAGGGUUUGUCAAGGGGACCCAGAACCUACACAAGUUUGCUAGGCGGGUCAAUGCUUGCAUACAAACUCGGAUGUAG